AUUGAACGCUGGCGGCAGGCCUAACACAUGCAAGUCGAGCGGCAGCACAGUGAUUGCUCCCUGAUUCCGCGGCCGACUGGCGGGUGAUUCCUGAGAAUCUCCCUAUCUGCUGUGUCUUGCGUGCUGACACGGGCGCUAAUACCCCAUUCCUGCUUACGGCCACAGGGGGGGAUCUUCGGACCUCCCGCUCUCACGUGAGCCUAUGUGGCGAUGUCGGAUUAGUUAGUUGGCGGGGUAAAGGCCCACCAAGGCGACGAUCCGUAGCUGGUCUGAGAGGAUGAUCAGCCACACUGGAACUGAGACACGGUCCAGACUCCUACGGGAGGCAGCAGUGGGGAAUAUUGGACAAUGGGCGCAAGCCUGAUCCAGCCAUACCGCGUGGGUGAAGAAGGCCUUCGGAUUGUAAAGCCCUUUUGGUGGGAAAGAAAAGCAGCAGGUUAAUACCCCGCUGUUCUGACGGUACCCAAAGAAUAAGCACCGGCUAACUUCGUG
rnacentral:rRNA from 1 species